AGCGAACGCUGGCGGCAGGCCUAACACAUGCAAGUCGAACGAAGUCUUCGGACUUAGUGGCGGACGGGUGAGUAACACGUGGGAACGUGCCUUUAGGUUCGGAAUAACUCAGGGAAACUUGUGCUAAUACAGAAUGUGCCCUUCGGGGGAAAGAUUUAUAGCCUUUAGAGCGGCCCGCGUCUGAUUAGCUAGUUGGUGAGGUAAAGGCUCACCAAGGCGACGAUCAGUAGCUGGUCUGAGAGGAUGAUCAGCCACAUUGGGACUGAGACACGGCCCAAACUCCUACGGGAGGCAGCAGUGGGGAAUCUUGCGCAAUGGGCGAAAGCCUGACGCAGCCAUGCCGCGUGAAUGAUGAAGGUCUUAGGAUUGUAAAAUUCUUUCACCGGGGACGAUAAUGACGGUACCCGGAGAAGAAGCCCCGGCUAACUUCGUGCCAGCAGCCGCCGUAAAAC
rnacentral:rRNA from 1 species